rnacentral:rRNA from 1 species
UAAUACGUAGGAUGCAAGCGUUGUCCGGAUUUACUGGGCGUAAAGCGCGCGCAGGCGGCAUACCAAGUAUUCAGUGAAAUCUCCCUGCUCAACGGGGAGGGUGCUGAGUAGACUGGUAAGCUAGAGGACGGUAGAGGGGGGUAGAAUUGCUGGUGUAGCGGUGAAAUGCGUAGAGAUCAGCAGGAAUACCCGUGGCGAAGGCGGCCCCCUGGGCCGUUUCUGACGCUGAGGCGCGAAGGCUAGGGGAGCGAACGGGAUUAGAUACCCCGGUAGUCCUAGCAGUAAACGAUGGCCACUAGGUGUGAGGGGUGUUGACCCCCCUUGUGCCGAAGCUAACGCAUUAAGUGGCCCGCCUGGGGAGUACGGUCGCAAGACUA